rnacentral:rRNA from 1 species
UACGUAGGGGGCAAGCGUUGUCCGGAAUUAUUGGGCGUAAAGGGUAGGUAGGUGGUGACAUUUGUCUGGGGUGAAAUCCCUGAGCUUAACUCAGGAAGUGCCUUGGAAACGGUGUCACUAGAGUGCUGGAGAGGUUCGCAGAAUUCUUGGUGUAGCGGUGAAAUGCGUAGAGAUCAAGAGGAAUACCAGAGGCGAAGGCGGCGAACUGGACAGUUACUGACACUAAACUACGAAAGCGUGGGGAGCAAACAGG